AUCGUCUUUAUUUUCAAUACCUAAAUACACAAGGAAACUAUAAUCUCCUCCUUCAUCUUAUUGGUCUCUUCCUUACAGCAAUUCAAUCAUACCAAUAACUACUAUUUCUACCAAUAUAUUCACCCUCAUAAUCUCCAACUGUAAUAUUGUGCCCUCACAGCUUUCAGCACACAAUUACCCUCAUUCCAAUCACUGAAAUUCUUCACAUAGAACUGCCAUUCACAUUACAGUGUUUCACACAAACAUAGACUCAUUCUCUUUGCUGAACUACAAUCAGAUUUCAACAUUCAAUCUUUCUUCUUCUCAAAUAAUAUCAAUCAAAUU
rnacentral:lncRNA from 1 species